rnacentral:rRNA from 1 species
GACGAACGCUGGCGGCGUGCUUAACACAUGCAAGUCGAACGAAGUGGCGAACGUGUGGGUAACGCGUAUUCAACCUGCCCUUCAGUGGGGGACAACAGUUGGAAACGACUGCUAAUACCGCAUACUGCAGGAGGGGAUUGCGUCUGAUUCGCUAGUUGGAGGGGUAACGGCCCACCAAGGCGAGAAUCAGUAGCCGGUAUGAGAGGAUGAACGGCCACAUUGGGACUGGGACACGGCCCAGACUCCUACGGGAGGCAGCAGUGGGGAAUCUUCCGCAAUGGGCGCAAGCCUGACGGAGCAACGCCGCGUGAGUGAAGAAGGUGUUCGGAUCGUAAAGCUCUGUUGUAAGAGAAGCGGUAUCUUACCAGAAAGCCACGGCUAACUACGUGCCAGCAGCCGCGGUAAUAC